rnacentral:rRNA from 1 species
UGAAUACGAGACGCUAAGGCGUCGAAGUAGUGUAUGUCAUACUUCCAAGAAAAGCUUGCACUGUCAUAGAUAAAAAACGCCUGUACCAUAACCGACACAGGUGGGUAGGUAGAGUAUACUAAGGGGCGCGAGAUAACUCUCUCUAAGGAACUCGGCAAAAUAACUCCGUAACUUCGGGAGAAGGAGUGCCUUAUUCGUAAGGUUGCAAUAACAAGAUCCAAGCAACUGUUUAUCAAAAACACAGGUCUCCGCUAAGUCGUAAGACGAUGUAUGGGGGCUGACGCCUGCCCAGUGCCAGAAGGUUAAAGAAGUUGGUUAGCAAUUGCGAAGCUGAUAACUGAAGCCCUGGUGAACGGCGGCCGUAACAAUAACGGUCCUAAGGUAGCGAAAUUCCUUGUCGGGUAAGUUCCGACCCGCACGAAAGGCGUAAUGAUUUGGAUACUGUCUCGGAGAGGGGCUCGGUGAAAUAGACUUGUCUGUGAAGAUGCGGACUACCUGCACCAGGACAGAAAGACCCUAUGAAGCUUUACUGUAACUUGAAAUUGAAAUUGGACUUUAUUCGCGCAGUAUAGGUGGGAGGCGUUGAUUAUAAUCUUGUGGGAUUAUUGGAGCCAUCAGUGAGAUACCACUCUUGUAAUGUUAGAUUUCUAACUUUGAAUCAUUAUCUGGUCAAAGAACAGUUUCAGGCGGGCAGUUUGACUGGGGCGGUCGCCUCCUAAACGGUAACGGAGGCGUACAAAGGUUUCCUCUGAACGGUUAGAAAUCGUAUCUAGAGUGUAAAGGCAUAAGGAAGCUUGACUGUGAGACCUACAAGUCGAGCAGGGACGAAAGUCGGUCUUAGUGAUCUGACGGUACUGAGUGGAAAGGCCGUCACUCAACGGAUAAAAGUUACUCUAGGAUAACAGGCUGAUCUCCCCCAAGAGUUCACAUCGACGGGGAGGUUUGGCUCCUCGAUGUCGGCUCAUCGCAUCCUGGGGCGGUAGUACGUCCCAAGGGUUGGGCUGUUCGCCCAUGAAAGCGGUACACGAGCUGGGUUCAGAACGUCGUGAGACAGUUCGGUCCAUAUCCGGUGUAGGCGUUAGAAUAUUGAGAGGAGCCUUCUUUAGUACGAGAGGACCGAGAAGGACAUACCUCUGGUGUACCAGUUAUCGUGCCAACGGUAAACGCUGGGUAGCUAUGUAUGGAGUGGAUAACCGCUGAAAGCAUCUAAGUGGGAAGCCCACCUCAAGAUAAGUAUUCUCAUC